CCUACGGGAUGCUGCAGUGAGGAAUAUUGGUCAAUGGGCGCGAGCCUGAACCAGCCAAGUCGCGUGAGGGAUGACGGCCCUACGGGUUGUAAACCUCUUUUGCAGGGGAGCAACGGGCGCCACGUGUGGCGCCACUGAGAGUACACGGAGAAAAAGCAUCGGCUAACUCCGUGCCAGCAGCCGCGGUAAUACGGAGGAUGCGAGCGUUAUCCCGAGUUAUUGGGUUUAAAGGGUGCUUAGGCGGAUCGUUAAGUCAGUGGUCAAAUUGAGGGGCUCAACCCCUUCCCGCCAUUGAAACUGGCGUUCUUGAGUGGAAGAGAAGUAUGUGGAAUGCGUGGUGUAGCGGUGAAAUGCAUAGAGAUCACGCAGAACCCCGAUUGCGAAGGCAGCAUGCCGGCUUCCGACUGACGCUGAAGCACGAAAGCGUGGGGAUCGAACAGGAUUAGAUACCCGAGUAGUC
rnacentral:rRNA from 1 species